AGGAAUAUUGGUCAAUGGACGAGAGUCUGAACCAGCCAAGUAGCGUGCAGGAAGACGGCCCUAUGGGUUGUAAACUGCUUUUAUAAGGGAAUAAAGUGAGUCUCGUGAGACUUUUUGCAUGUACCUUAUGAAUAAGGACCGGCUAAUUCCGUGCCAGCAGCCGCGGUAAUACGGAAGGUCCGGGCGUUAUCCGGAUUUAUUGGGUUUAAAGGGAGCGUAGGCCGGAGAUUAAGCGUGUUGUGAAAUGUAGAUGCUCAACAUCUGAACUGCAGCGCGAACUGGUUUCCUUGAGUACGCACAAAGUGGGCGGAAUUCGUGGUGUAGCGGUGAAAUGCUUAGAUAUCACGAAGAACUCCGAUUGCGAAGGCAGCUCACUGGAGCGCAACUGACGCUGAAGCUCGAAAGUGCGGGUAUCGAACAGGAUUAGAUACCCUGGUAGUCCGCACGGUAAACGAUGGAUGCCCGCUGUUGGUCUGAAUAGGUCAGCGGCCAAGCGAAAGCAUUAAGCAUCCCACCUGGGGAGUACGCCGGCAACGGUGAAACUCAAAGGAAUUGACGGGGGCCCGCACAAGCGGAGGAACAUGUGGUUUAAUUCGAUGAUACGCGAGGAACCUUACCCGGGCUUGAAUUGCAGAGGAAGGAUUUGGAGACAAUGACGCCCUUCGGGGCCUCUGUGAAGGUGCUGCAUGGUUGUCGUCAGCUCGUGCCGUGAGGUGUCGGCUUAAGUGCCAUAACGAGCGCAACCCCUCUCCUUAGUUGCCAUCAGGUUAAGCUGGGCACUCUGGGGACACUGCCACCGUAAGGUGUGAGGAAGGUGGGGAUGACGUCAAAUCAGCACGGCCCUUACGUCCGGGGCUACACACGUGUUACAAUGGCAGGUACAGAGAGACGGUCCCUUGCAAAAUGGAUCAAAUCCUUAAAGCCUGUCUCAGUUCGGACUGGGGUCUGCAACCCGACCCCACGAAGCUGGAUUCGCUAGUAAUCGCGCAUCAGCCAUGGCGCGGUGAAUACGUUCCCG
rnacentral:rRNA from 1 species